rnacentral:rRNA from 1 species
CUACGGGGCGCUCCAGUGGGGAAUAUUGCACAAUGGGCGAAAGCCUGAUGCAGCAACGCCGCGUGGAGGAUGACACAUUUCGGUGCGUAAACUCCUUUUAUAUAGGAAGAUAAUGACGGUACUAUAUGAAUAAGCGCCGGCUAACUCCGUGCCAGCAGCCGCGGUAAUACGGAGGGCGCAAGCGUUACUCGGAAUCACUGGGCGUAAAGAGCGUGUAGGCGGAUAGAUAAGUUGGGAGUGAAAUCCUAUGGCUCAACCAUAGAGCUGCUUCCAAAACUGUCUAUCUAGAGUAUGGGAGAGGUAGAUGGAAUUUCUGGUGUAGGGGUAAAAUCCGUAGAGAUCAGAAGGAAUACCGAUUGCGAAGGCGAUCUACUGGAACAUUACUGACGCUGAGACGCGAAAGCGUGGGGAGCAAACAGGAUUAGAUACCCUUGUAGUC